CUAACCGUGUGGAAAAAGCUGCAAACUGCGAAUUAUGUCGCGUGACGUUUCCCCUCUAUCUUUUUAGGAGGUUGUCAGUUUCGUAGGCAAAGGAGUUGGCGCAGGCGCGGCACUGACAGAGGCUCUCUACCUGCUCCGCAGUGUGUGUAACAAUGGCCUGGAAAUCAGGAGGAGCCAGCCACGCAGAGCUUGUAAACAACCUUCGCAAAAAUGGGAUCAUCAAGUCAGACAAGGUCUAUGAAGUCAUGUUGGCCACAGACCGAGGCCAUUUCUCCAGAAGCAACCCCUACAUGGACUCCCCACAGUCAAUAGGCUAUCAAGCAACCAUCAGUGCGCCACACAUGCACGCCUAUGCGUUGGAGCUACUGCAUGAUCAGCUGUAUGAUGGGGCCAAAGCUCUGGAUGUUGGGUCUGGCAGUGGAAUCCUAUCUGCAUGCUUUGCACGAAUGGUAGGUCCCAAAGGGAAGGUGAUAGGAAUUGACCACAUCAAGGAACUGGUAGAUGAUUCUAUUAACAAUGUAAAGAAAGAUGACCCCAGCUUGAUAACAUCUGGUCGAGUCAAACUAAUAGUGGGAGACGGGCGGAUGGGCCAUCCAGAGGAGGCGCCUUAUGAUGCCAUCCACGUGGGCGCGGCAGCACCCAACGUGCCACAAGCACUCCUGGACCAGCUGAAGCCAGGCGGCAGGCUGAUUCUGCCCGUGGGGCCGGCUGGAGGGAACCAGAUGCUGGAGCAGUACGACAAGUUGGAGGACGGCAGCACCAAGAUGAAGCCCCUGAUGGGGGUGAUUUACGUGCCUUUAACAGACAAAGAGAAGCAGUGGUCCAGGUGGAAGUGACUUCCUACUCUCUCUCCCCCCUCUCUCCUUCACACAGUGGGCAACGGUGAAAUGGGAUGAACUUUGAGGCGACAGACUGUCCAUAUUCCACAUUUCAAUGUGAACCUGGAGGAGACUACUUUGGGUUCCAACAACAGCCAUUGGAUUUCUUUGAAAACAACAAACCAUGGUGAUUUUGUUUUUUCUCCUUUAACUCUACCUAGAGUAUCAUGCUGAGGAAUAACCCCUGAGGUCGGAAUAACGACUGCUGGAGAUUGUUUAAAAUAUAUAUAUUGGCCUGCAUUUUUUUGGUUGUGAAUUUUCCUUUUGAUUUGCUGCAAGAUUGAGUUUGUGGUUACAUCUUGAUUUGCAAAUCAACCAUUUCACAAUAAUGCAUUUCAGCUCCAAACAAAGCUGAGUGUAAAGACUGUUCUGAUGAGGAAAGCCUGAGAUGAAGAGAUUAUUCAGCCACUUACUGUAGAGUGCAUCUGAAGAUCUGACUAGAUAUCUGUACUGCUGCUCUGCUAACAUAUAUCAGUGUCGUCGCCUAAUAGGAAGUGAAUGGGCAAUGAUGUAUUGGGUUAUUUAUGAGUCACUUAUUGUAAGUAAGAAUAGAAGAUGUUUCUUAACAAUUCUACAUUCAUGUGGAUGUUAUGGGUGAUCUUGAACAAAUUGUGAAUAGUGAUGAGUGAGAAGGUUACAGGUACCAUGACAAGACUGCAAGCUUUACUGAUUACCGACACUAAACAAAGCAGAGCCAUACAUAUAUUAUAUUAUAUAUAUAUAUGUGUGUGAGUGUGAAACAAGGUAGCCGGUGCGUUGCCAAAAUACAUUUUAAUGCAAAGUGAUUGAAUGUCUUUAAAAAAAUUGAAUAUUGGAUGAGCUAUGGCUUUCACAAUUUCUGGAAUGGCAAAAAUGAAAAUAAAAAUAUGCUUAUGUU